UGCAAAACAGUCUGUUUCAAGUAAAGAUGGAAGCUUGAUUGUCACCAUGGAUGAGAGCCAAUUAGGAAGAAAUCCCCUAGGAAGUAAUGUAACAUCUUGGGUGAAGCUUGUUUUGGGCAUGUAUCCUCCUGGAACAUCUGUUAGAACUUUGACAUGUUCCUAUUGCAAUGUUGAACAGCCUCCACGAGCAAAGCAUUGCCAUGAUUGUGACAA
rnacentral:misc_RNA from 1 species